rnacentral:rRNA from 1 species
GUUUGAUCAUGGCUCAGAAUCAACGCUGGCGGCGUGCCUCAGACAUGCAAGUCGAACGAUUAAAGCUCUCUUCGGAGAGUGCAUAAAGUGGCGCACGGGUGAGUAACACGUAAGUAAUCUACCCUCGAGUGGGGAAUAACGUCCGGAAACGGACGCUAAUACCGCAUGAUGCAGCGGCACCGCAAGGUGACAGUUGUUAAAGAUUUAUCGCUUGGGGAGGAGCUUGCGGCAGAUUAGCUAGUUGGUAAGGUAAUGGCUUACCAAGGCUACGAUCUGUAACCGGUCUAAGAGGACGGUCGGUCACACUGACACUGAAUAACGGGUCAGACUCUUACGGGAGGCAGCAGUCGGGAAUUUUGGGCAAUGGGCGAAAGCCUGACCCAGCAACGCCGCGUGAAGGAUGAAGUAUUUCGGUAUGUAAACUUCGAAAGAAUAGGAAGAAUAAAUGACGGUACUAUUUAUAAGGUCCGGCUAACUACGUGCCAGCAGCCGCGGUAAUACGUAGGGACCAAGCGUUGUUCGGAUUUACUGGGCGUAAAGGGCGCGUAGGCGGCUUGUCAAGUCACUUGUGAAAUCUCUGGGCUUAACCCAGAACGGCCAAGUGAAACUGACAUGCUAGAGUGCAGAAGGG